rnacentral:rRNA from 1 species
GAUGAACGCUGGCGGCGUGCCUAAUACAUGCAAGUCGAGCGAACGGACGAGAAGCUUGCUUCUCUGAUGUUAGCGGCGGACGGGUGAGUAACACGUGGAUAACCUACCUAUAAGACUGGGACAACUUCGGGAAACCGGAGCUAAUACCGGAUAAUAUUUUGAACCGCAUGGUUCCAAAGUGAAAGACGGUCUUGCUGUCACUUAUAGAUGGAUCCGCGCUGCAUUAGCUAGUUGGUAAGGUAACGGCUUACCAAGGCAACGAUGCAUAGCCGACCUGAGAGGGUGAUCGGCCACACUGGAACUGAGACACGGUCCAGACUCCUACGGGAGGCAGCAGUAGGGAAUCUUCCGCAAUGGGCGAAAGCCUGACGGAGCAACGCCGCGUGAGUGAUGAAGGUCUUCGGAUCGUAAAACUCUGUUAUUAGGGAAGAACAUAUGUGUAAGUAACUGUGCACAUCUUGACGGUACCUAAUCAGAAAGCCACGGCUAACUACGUG